GAUGAACGCUGGCGGCGUGCCUAAUACAUGCAAGUCGAGCGAACAGAUAAGGAGCUUGCUCCUUUGACGUUAGCGGCGGACGGGUGAGUUACACGUGGAUAACCUACCUAUAAGACUGGGAUAACUUCGGGAAACCGGAGCUAAUACCGGAUAACAUAUUGAACCGCAUGGUUCAAUAGUGAAAGGCGGCUUUGCUGUCACUUAUAGAUGGAUCCGCGCCGUAUUAGCUAGUUGGUAAGGUAACGGCUUACCAAGGCAACGAUACGUAGCCGACCUGAGAGGGUGAUCGGCCACACUGGAACUGAGACACGGUCCAGACUCCUACGGGAGGCAGCAGUAGGGAAUCUUCCGCAAUGGGCGAAAGCCUGACGGAGCAACGCCGCGUGAGUGAUGAAGGUCUUCGGAUCGUAAAACUCUGUUAUCAGGGGAGAACAAAUGUGUAAGUAACUGUGCACAUCUUGACGGUACCUGAUCAGAAAGCCACGGCUAACUACGUG
rnacentral:rRNA from 1 species